AAUUCUAAGAUUCUUGAUAGAAGCCUCAGACUGCUGCAGAUCUGAAAUUAUUUUGUUCUUUUCAUCUUGUAGUGCUAAUAUUUCAGCUUGGUGACUACACUUCGCCUCUUCUAGUUGCAUCUUCAACCGUGAGUUAAUAUUUUGUAGGUCUUCAUUAGCAAGCUGCAGAACAGAAAUUUGUUCAACUUGCUGCUCUAACUGAACUCUUAAGGUCUUGACUGAAUCAUUUGACUGAUGUAAGCUGUUAAUGGCCUCUUCCUUCUCUCCUUGUAGCACAAUAAUCUCAUCUUGCAGAUUAGUCCUUAUCUCUUCAAGUUGCUUGUGUAACCUAGAAUUUGUACUCUGCAUCUCUUCAUUUUCUCGCUGGAAAUGUAAAAUUUGGUUUUGCUGUUGUACCAUGUCACUUUGAAGUUCCUUGAUGUUAGCCUCUGAUUGCUGUAACUGAGCGAGUGCUGCAUUUUUCUCCGCUUGCAGUGCCAUAACCUCAUUAUACAGAUCAGUCUUUCCUGCUUCGAGGUCUUUAUUGGCCUCCUGAAGUUUUGAAAUCUCUUGGACUUGUUGUUCUAACUUGCUCUCAAGAUUAAUAACAGAAGUAGCAGGUUCAUUUUUUUGUCCUUGUAAUUCAACAAUUUCAUUAUGCAGGUUAGAAUUUGCCAGCUCCAGGCCUUCAUUAGUCUUCUGCAUAUCUGAAAUCCUCUCAAGUUGUUGUGCUAGCUCAGUCUUAAGAUUCAUCAAAGAAGCCUCUAGCUGCUCUAUCUCUGACAUGGCAGAAUCAUUAUCCUUCUGUAGCUCGGCAAUAUUACUUACAAGAAUCUUGAUAGAAGCCUCAGACUGCUGCAGAUCUGAAAUUAUUUUGUUCUUUUCAUCUUGUAGUGCUAAUAUUUCAGCUUGGUGACUAAACUUCGCCUCUUCCAGUUGCAUCUUCAACUUGGAGUUACUUUUUUGUAGGUCUUCAUUAGCAAGCUGCAGGUCAGAAAUUUGUUCAACUCGCUGGUCUAACAGAACUCCAAGGGUCUUGAGUGAAUCAUUUGACUUCUGUAAGCUAUUAAUGGCCUCUUCCUUCACUCCUUGUAGCACAAUGAUCUCAUCUUCCAGAUUAGUCCUUAUCUCUUCAAGUUGCUUGUGUAAACUAGAAUUUGUACUCUGCAGCUCUUCAUUUUCUCGCUGGAAAUAUGAAAUUUGGUUUUGCUGCUGUACCAGGUCACUUUGAAGUUUCUUGAUGUUAGCCUCUGAUUCCUGUAACUGGGCGAGUGCUGCAUUUUUCUCCUCUUGCAGUGCCGUAAUCUCAUUAUACAGGUCAGUCUUAGCUGCUUUAAGGUCUUUGUUGGCUUUCUGAAGAUUUGAAAUCUCUUGGACUUGUUGUUCUAACUUGCUCUCAAGAUUAAUAACAGAAUCAGCAGCUUCAUUUUUUUGUCCAUGUAAUUCUACAAUUUCAUUAUGCAGGUUAGAAUUUGCCAGCUCCAGGCCUUCAUUAGUCUUCUGCAUAUCUGAAAUCCGCUCAAGUUGUUGUGCUAGCUCAGUCUUAAGAUUCAUCAAAGAAGCCUCUAGCUGCUCUAUCUCUGACGUGGCAGAAUCAUUAUCCUUCUGUAGCUCGGCAAUAUUACUUACAAGAUUCUUGAUAGAAGCCUCAGACUGCUGCAGAUCUGAAAUUAUUUUGUUCUUUUCAUCUUGUUGUGCUAAUAUUUCAGCUUGGUGAAUAAACUUCGCCUGUUCUUGUUGCAUCUUCAACUGUGAGUUACUAUUUUGUAGGUCUUCAUUAGCAAGCUGCAGAACAGAAAUUUGUUCAACUGCCUGCUCUAACUGAGCUCCUAACGUCUUGACUGAAUCAUUGGACUGAUGUAAGUUGUUAAUGGCCUCUUCCUUCUCUCCUUGUAGCACAAUGAUCUCAUCUUGCAGAUUAGUCCUUAUCUCUUCAAGUUGCUUGUGUAACCUAGAAUUUGUACUCUGCAGCUCUUCAUUUUCUCGCUGGAAAAGUAAAAUUUGGUUUUGCUGCUGUACCAUGUCACUUUGAAGUUCCUUGAUGUUAGCCUCUGAUUGCUGUAACUGAGCGAGUGCUGCAUUUUUCUCCGCUUGCAGUGCCAUAACCUCAUUAUACAGAUCGCUCUUUCCUGCUUCGAGGUCUUUGUUGGCCUCCUGAAGUUUUGAAAUCUCUUGGACUUGUUGUUCUAACUUGCUCUCAAGAUUAAUAACUGAAGCAGCAGCUUCAUUUUUUUGUCCUUGUAAUUCUACCAUUUCAUUAUGUAGGUUAGAAUUUGCAAGCUCCAGACCUUCAUUAGUCUUCUGCAUAUCUGAAAUGCUCUCAAUCUGUUGUGCUAGCUCAGUUUUAAGAUUCAUCAAAGAAGCCUCUAGCUGCUCUAUCUUUGAGGUGGCACAAUCAUUAUCUUUCUGUAGCUCGGAAAUAUUACUUACAAGAUUCUGGAUAGAAGCCUCAGACUGCUGCAGAUCUGAAAUUAUUUUGUUCUUUUCAUCUUGUAGUGCUAAUAUUUCAGCUUGGUGACUAAACUUCGCCUCUUCCAGUUGCAUCUUCAACUUGGAGUUACUAUUUUGUAGGUCUUCAUUAGCAAGCUGCAGGUCAGAAAUUUGUUCCACUCGCUGGUCUAACAGAACUCCAAGGGUCUUGACUGAAUCAUUUGACUUCUGUAAGCUAUUAAUGGCCUCUUCCUUCACUCCUUGUAGCACAAUGAUCUCAUCUUGCAGAUUAGUUCUUAUCU
rnacentral:lncRNA from 1 species